rnacentral:snRNA from 1 species
GGAUGUGAGGGAAUUCUUUACUAUGUGUACCACCCCACUGAUCACCAGGCUUGACCUGAAUGACCUAGCUGGCUGUGUGGAUGGUGGACGCUCCCUUCUUUCCUCUGUUCUUCAGCUACACCUCGAGCAAAACUGCUGUGCUGUGUAGUAGAGGCUAUCCCUCCUGGAAAGAAGAAGGGCAUUCUUGGGUCAAGAGUAACUGAGCAGCUGUUCUCCUCAGCUAGAACUUCCACACAGCCUCUGACGGAGCAGUGAUGAGAAGAAUGGUGCAAGUGAACAAAUAAGA